rnacentral:lncRNA from 1 species
ACAUCUAUUAACUUUUAUGGAUAAUUCUUUUUGAACAAAACUAAUCUCAUAUUUUGGAUUCUUAAAAUGGCUUUGGUUUCAACUGAUUUUAGGCAAGCCUGAUCAAAACUUCUCAGGUUUUAUUUUUAAUUUGUGCGAUAGGAUUAUUUUUAUUUUGUUUAGCUGUACUAAUCAUUUUUAGAAGAAAAUGUUCCUUUUUUGAUAAAACUUUUUAAAAAAAUACAUUUUGUGCAGAGUUCUUAAUUUCCAUAACAGCCCACCUGAUGUGUAAAAUAUGUUGGUGCACAGUAAAAUUUCACAGUGUGUGCUUUCCUGUCCUUCUUUUUCCUGGUAUAGUUGGGGUGUAACUUGACUUAGACACUACUAAUUGUUAUAAACCUCCAGUACCCUUGAUUUGCCAAAUAAGUUUGAAGAACAAAGUGUAUCAUUUUCUGUUACCUUAACUCUCACAAUGCUGUAUCACAUAAUAAAGCCUCAACAGACUUGGAUUAAAA